rnacentral:rRNA from 1 species
AGUGAACGCUGGCGGUAGGCCUAACACAUGCAAGUCGAACGGCAGCACAGUAAGAGCUUGCUCUUACGGGUGGCGAGUGGCGGACGGGUGAGGAAUACAUCGGAAUCUACUUUUUCGUGGGGGAUAGCGUAGGGAAACUUACGCUAAUACCGCAUACGACUUACGGGUGAAAGCAGGGGAUCUUCGGACCUUGCGCGAUUGAAUGAGCCGAUGUCGGAUUAGCUAGUUGGCGGGGUAAAGGCCCACCAAGGCGACGAUCCGUAGCUGGUCUGAGAGGAUGAUCAGCCACACUGGAACUGAGACACGGUCCAGACUCCUACGGGAGGCAGCAGUGGGGAAUAUUGGACAAUGGGCGCAAGCCUGAUCCAGCCAUACCGCGUGGGUGAAGAAGGCCUUCGGGUUGUAAAGCCCUUUUGUUGGGAAAGAAAAGCAGCAGGUUAAUACCCCGCUGUUCUGACGGUACCCAAAGAAUAAGCACCGGCUAACUUCGUG